rnacentral:rRNA from 1 species
AGUGAACGCUGGCGGUAGGCCUAACACAUGCAAGUCGAACGGCAGCACAGUAAGAUCUUGCUCUUACUGGUGGCGAGUGGCGGACGGGUGAGGAAUACAUCGGAAUCUACUUUUUCGUGGGUGAUAACGUAGGGAAACUUCCGCUAAUACCUCAUACGACCUACGGGUGAAAGCAGGGGAUCUUCGCACCUUGCGCGAUUGAAUGAGCCGAUGUCGGAUUAGCUAGUUGGCGGGGUAAAGGCCCACCAAGGCGACGAUCCGUAGCUGGUCUGAGAGGAUGAUCGGCCACACUGGAACUGAGACACGGUCCAGACUCCUACGGGAGGCAGCAGUAGGGAAUAUUGGACAAUGGGCGAAAGCCUGAUCCAGCAAUACCGCGUGAGUGAAGAAGGCCUUCGGGUUGUAAAGCCCUUUUGUUGGGAAAGAAAAGAAGCAGGUGAAUACGCCGCUGUUCUGACGGCACCCAAAGAAUAAGCACCGGCUAACUUCGUG